CCUCUUAUUGACUAUGAAUUGGUUAGUUAUUUACUUGCAAGUUUAGGUCCUAAAUAUGAUCCAUUAAUCACGUCCCUCACCACACGAAUUGAUUUAAUGUCUUUCCAAGAAGUCUACGUCCAUCUUCUUAAUUAUGAGC